rnacentral:tmRNA from 2 species
GGGGGUGUACUGGUUUCGACGGGGACACGGAAGGCAGGAUAAGCGUGCGGCGGCCCUGCACCGCCUCAAAAACGGGAACUUAAAAUGAACUGACAACUACGAAAACGUAGCUUUCGCGGCUUAAUCCGCGAUCGUCGACCCUAAGCCUCCUGCGGCGUAGGCCAUCGGCGUCAUAAAAGCAGGGAACCAGUCCGCUUAAGCUUUGCGGCGGACGGGACUUUAUGAAGCUACUGAAACCGCAACGCCUUCUACGGCGGCGCGGCAGAGGGAAUGUUAAAACGUAGAAUGCGCACGGAGAAAGUCCUGUGGUCCGGUUUUCGGACUGGGGUUCGACUCCCCACACCUCCACCA